UACGUAGGGCGCAAGCGUUAUCCGGAAUUAUUGGGCGUAAAGAGCUCGUAGGCGGUUUGUCGCGUUCUGCCGUGAAAGUCCGGGGCUCAACUCCGGAUCUGCGGUGGGUACGGGCAGACUAGAGUGAUGUAGGGGAGACUGGAAUUCCUGGUGUAGCGGUGAAAUGCGCAGAUAUCAGGAGGAACACCGAUGGCGAAGGCGGCAUCCUGGACCGACAUUGACGCUGAACGGCGAAAGCUAGGGGAGCAACGGGG
rnacentral:rRNA from 1 species